GGAGAGGUGGCUGAGCUGGUCGAAGGCGCUCGACUCGAAAUCGAGUAGGCUGUGAAAGGUCUCGUGGGUUCGAAUCCCACCCUCUCCGCCA
rnacentral:tRNA from 1 species